rnacentral:lncRNA from 1 species
AGCAAAAAGGCAUUGGCAGCACAGGAAGCAGCUGCUAGUACUACACUUCCUGGCCAAGGAACCACCAUAAAUGUUGCUGAUGCAUCAGGGAACACUAAGAAAGGAUGCUGUUCCACUUAAAAAAGUGAUUGGUUAUAUUUGAGGAAGGGAAAAAUAUUUGCUAGCAAGCAGGCCUUUUUUUUUUUUUUUUAUUUCUCCCUUUAUUUUUUUCUUUUUCCCACCCUUUUUCAAUUUUUGGCUGAGAGAGACACAUGUAGAAUACUUGUUUUUACUUAAAUGAGUUGUGAUAAGGAAGCUUGUGAUAUUUUAAACAACCAUAUUGGUGUUUGUAGGAUGGAAAAGGCCUGCUUUUCCUCUGCUCGUCUCUCAACAUGUUUACCUUAAAAAGUGG